rnacentral:rRNA from 1 species
AUUGAACGCUGGCGGCAUGCCUUACACAUGCAAGUCGAACGGCAGCGCGGACUUCGGUCUGGCGGCGAGUGGCGAACGGGUGAGUAAUGUAUCGGAACGUACCAUUGAGUGGGGGAUAACGUAGCGAAAGUUACGCUAAUACCGCAUAUUCUCUUCGGAAGAAAGCAGGGGACCGCAAGGCCUUUCGCUCUUUUAGCGGCCGAUAUCAGAUUAGCUAGUCGGUGGGGUAAAAGCUCACCAAGGCGAUGAUCUGUAGCGGGUCUGAGAGGAUGAUCCGCCACACUGGAACUGAGACACGGUCCAGACUCCUACGGGAGGCAGCAGUGGGGAAUUUUGGACAAUGGGGGCAACCCUGAUCCAGCCAUGCCGCGUGAGUGAAGAAGGCCUUCGGGUUGUAAAGCUCUUUCGGCCGGGAAAAAAUCGCAUGGAUUAAUACUCUGUGUGGAUGAUGGUACCGGAAUAAGAAGCACCGGCUAACUACGUGCCAGCCGCCGCGGUAAAAC